GUCGUAACAAGGUAGCCCUAGGGGAACCUGGGGCUGGAUCACCUCCUUAUACGAAGGUAC
rnacentral:rRNA from 1 species